GACGAACGCUGGCGGCGUGCUUAACACAUGCAAGUCGAACGGAAAGGCCUGCUUUCCCUUGUGGAUUGCGGGUGCUCGAGUGGCGAACGGGUGAGUAACACGUGAGUGAUCUGCCCCCAACUUGGGUAUAAGCCUGGGAAACUGGGUCUAAUUCCCGAUAGGACUGCAGGGUGGUGCCUGUGGUGGAAAACGAUUUUCUAGUGGUUGGGGAUGAGCUCGCGGCCUAUCAGCUUGUUGGUGGGGUAAUGGCCUACCAAGGCGGCGACGGGUAGCCGGCCUGAGAGGGGGGACGGCCACAUUGGGACUGAGAUACGGCCCAGACUCCUACGGGAGGCAGCAGUGGGGAAUAUUGCACAAUGGGCGGAAGCCUGAGGCAGCGACGCCGCGUGGGGGAUGACGGCCUUCGGGUUGUAAACUCCUUUCGACCGCGAGGAAGCCACCUGGUUGGAAGGGUGGUGACGGUAGUGGUAGAAGAAGCACCGGCUAACUACGUG
rnacentral:rRNA from 1 species